UUUCAAAUAUAAUCGAAUAGCAGUGGCAAGGACGCGGUCAUGCAGUCUAAUAUUUGGCAUUCGAUUCAAAUGUUAACUGUAAGACUGUGUCUUUGACAAUGUUUCUAUCAUCGUUCGGUGGA
rnacentral:pre_miRNA from 1 species